rnacentral:rRNA from 1 species
UACGGAGGGUGCAAGCGUUAUCCGGAUUCACUGGGUUUAAAGGGUGCGUAGGUGGGCAGGUAAGUCAGUGGUGAAAUCUCCGGGCUUAACCCGGAACUGCCGUUGAUACUAUUUGUCUUGAAUAUAGUGGAGGUGAGCGGAAUAUGUCAUGUAGCGGUGGAAAUGCUUAGAUAUGACAUAGAACAUCGAUUGCGAAGGCAGCUCGCUACACUAUUAUUGACACUGAGGCACGAAAGCGUGGGGAUCAAACAGG